rnacentral:rRNA from 1 species
UACAGAGGUCCCGAGCGUUGUUCGGAAUCACUGGGCGUAAAGCGCGCGCAGGCGGAUGGUUGCGUCUGGUGUGAAAUUUCGCCGCUCAACGGCGAAGCUGCUUUGGAUACGGGCCAUCUGGGGACCGGUAGAGGCUGGUAGAAUUGCAGGUGUAGCGGUGGAAUGCGUAGAGAUCUGCAAGAAUACCCGUGGCGAAGGCGGCCAGCUGGGCCGGAUCCGACGCUGAGGCGCGAAAGCGUGGGGAGCAAACAGG